ACUGCUUCUUCUGCCUGUUGGCCAAGAUCAAGAUGUAGUAUCUGCUCUUAUCAGUUUGAUAGCUGAUAUGUCCCCUAUAUAGGGACCAAAUAUUAAAUGGAUUUUUAAAACAGAGAGAUAGAAAAAGAUUUUGCUCUGCCCACUCCAUGCAUUGGCCUGGUAUUGCAGUACCUCCAGGGCUGGUGAACAAAAA